AUGCUCUUCACUGGCACUGGAAGAAAUUCUGUAAACCAAGACAUGGCUCUUUUAAGAAAACUGGAUGGUGUGUUCAAGAAUCAGUCCUUGGGAAUAUUGUUGGUGAACAUGGCAGAGGUGUUGUCUUCCAGGAAGGGACAAGCAGAGCAGUGCUUCAUCUUACAUCUACCUGUCAUGAGUAAGAUUUUUUUUCCUUUUUUUUCCUCCACCCAUGGCACUUGGAAAUUCCCAGACCAGGGAUCGAAUCUGAGCCACAUCUGCAACCUAUGCCACAGCUGUGGUGAUGCCAGAUCCUUAACCCGCUGUGCCACCGCAGGAACUCCAUGAAUGAGAUUUUUUUUCUUACUUUGUCAAAGCUAUGCUGUUGAUGGAAGAACAUGGGCUCCAGAUUUGUUCACCCACUGAAGAACAAAACCUCCUACAGUCUUUCCUAAGGAGGGUGGAUGGUGGAGUUCCCCAGCUAUCCAAUAUUAAACCCAGCAACUUGGUAAAGAAUGUGGUUUGGCACCAGUCUCCUUUCCUCAUGUGUUGGCAAUGUCAUUUACUUCAAGAUUUAGAUUGCAGUUCAAUCUAAUUCAUUUGUGACCUGACAUUAAACAAAUUGCUUACCCUCUUUAAGGUCCAUGUAUAAGGUCGGGAUCAUAAUGCCUACUUCAUAGAGCUAUUGUAUUAUAAGAAGAUGGUGUGUGGGAGUUUGCUGGUGGCCUAGUAGUUAGGAGUCAUUGCUUUCACUACUGCAGCCUGGGUUUAAUCCCUGGUCUGGGAACUGAGAUCCCAGAUCAAGCCAUUGGAGGCUACAGAAUAGAAGAUGGUAUCUGCAAAGCAGUUGGCAUAGUGUCUGGCAAAUAGUCAGAUUUGUUUUUAUCUCCCCUGCCAUUUUCUUUUAUCUUGCCUUAUUUCAGUAACAUUAUAUGUGGAUAUGCUAUGGAUGAUACACCUUUUUUGGAGAAAAUAAAGUCAUUACCUCUUGACAUUUUAAUAUCUACUGAUCUUCAGUCUUAUCCAGCUAUUCACUGGACUAAAACAGUUCUGUCCCUCUCCAGGGUUUUCUGGCUUCUGUGCUAUGUCUUCAUAGAAUAUUAGAACUAGAAAAAGCCUUAGACUCAUUCAUUUUCUAGCUGAAGAAACAGACAACUGAAAAGAUGAGGUGGCUUGCUCAAGGUCAUUAAGCUGGUGGUGGCAAGGCUGAGAUUACAGUCUAUUCUAGUCCACAUUUCACUUUUCCAUCUAAACUAGUGCCUGAAAUGAAGAAUUUACAAGUUUCUCUGAUUAGUUUCCUGCUAAUUUCUUAGCUGAACCCAUGGCAAAAAUAAACAACAAAGGUAAUAAUAACAAAACAGAAAAUAGUCUACUUUUCUAGCUUGUUCUUAGAUCCAGAUUAUAUGCUUAUAUAUUAAAUCUAAAGUUUCACAAUCAUGAAACAGAAACAAAUAACUGUAAGUAGAUUUCAGAAAUCAAUAUGAACUAAACAAAUUCAAGAGAGCCCAAAUAUCUCUAAAAUCCAAUACUCUUUGGAGGGCCCACCACAGGAUCCAAUAAGAGAAUAGAAAGGCCCUCCAAAAACCCCUACUAAGCUUGGGAUCCUCAGCAGGCAACCAAUUGUAUGAUCCAGAAACAAACUUAAUUAAAGUACACAGCAGUGUACAAAGCUGGACCACCUACAUCGCUGAGACCAGGAAUUCAUUCAAAACAAACAGAAGAGAAAAAAGAAGAAAGUCCAAUGUUUUAGUUAGCUCCAAGAGAGAUGGGUUGUGCUGGCUCUAAUAUCCCAUGAGAGGAUAUAGCAUGAAGUAGCCAGGCCUGAAAAUUUACAAGCUGUGCAGUUAGGAGUUUAGAUUUAGGACCAAAAAAAUACAUAAAGAGGUUUGGAGGAUGUGUCUGGUGAUUGCUAGCACUAUAGGUGGGAAGGAUGCUUGGGACUUAGAUGCAGUGAAUGGCUGUUUUCAAACUGGAGACAUCUGUAGGAACUGUAUUUUUUUCCAUGCACAAAAGUAGCUGAGAGAAGAACUAAAGAUGCUGCAUUUGAAGAUAGUUAUUACCAGAAGCACGAAAACCUUAACAUUUUGUGAGAAAAACAGGCGAUGAGUGCAGUAGAAUUUCAGCAAAAGGAGACACUAGGAUCGAGGGGUGAGGGCAGGCUGCCCAGGCCCCACAAAUCCAGGCUGAACUCUGCACUCUCUUUCCAAUCAUCUUUUAUUGGGUCUUUGAGUCUGAACCUUGGCAGUUCAACUAGGUCAUUGUGGUAUCACCCUUGCUAAACUCUCAAUUCCAAUUCAGAAGUUUUCUUUUUAGGGUCUUGUGACCCUAAGACCCUAUUUCUGAAAUUGCCUCGUUAUGUUUUCAACUGUCAGUAUUAGUCUGUAUGGAAUGCUCUUUUCCACCCAGACUUAGUGCACUGAUUGUUUUCAUGCUUCUGCUUACAUCAUUUCCAAGUUCCUGUGUCUUCCUAACAAAGGCCAUCAAACAUUAUUAUCAUUCCAUGUCUUUUUACCCCAGCAAUAACUCCAAAAUAGAUUUCUUCUCCCCCAAUUAUUAGCAUUGCUCCUUUUUCACAAUGACACCAACAAAUACUAAAUUAUAGACUUACCACUGCCCUUUGUUCGUAUCUUUGAAGGAUUCAGCUUCUGAAUGAUUGAGGAAUCUCCUACCUUUCCUACCUAUAAGAUAAUAGGGAAUAUCUUCACUCUUCUAAGCCAAUCAUCACAUCUACAUAAAUCUGAAUAUCACAGCCACAUCACAGUUAGUGAUCCACCAGCUGUAAAUUUCUCUGAGAGCCUCUUAAUUUUUUCAAGAUAGAGUCAAUCGUUGUUAUCCUUAACUCAUAAAUAGUAAGAUAACCAGUUUUUGCUAGUAAAUAUUUAACAACCAGCUCCCCAGGGAAAACAAUCCUGAUUUCUCCUAUUUACUGAUUUCCAUGCUGUAAAUACUCCCACCAUGUCCUGACUACAAGCUAUGUAUUUGACAUACUGAACACAGGACUGGGGAAAAAAAGCUCACAAUCAGCUCUUUAGAGCCAGUACGAGCUGGUUCCCACAACACCAGUGAAUAAGUAUUAUUUAACAAUGCACUUUUUGCUGUAACAGAAUAAAGAUGUCAUUAUUUUUCAAUGGGUUUACAGUUUGAAUAAGAAAAUAAAAGCAUGCACACAAACAUGAAUAUAUGCAUCUACAAUCUAAUAAGCUGCAAAGCACAAGGGGAAUUUUUCAGUGUCCACAUUGGAAAGGUGAUAAUUAGUAUGGAUACUUUAGUACGUGGAGAGUGGUGUGCAUGUUAUCAUUUUAUUAAAAAAACAAAUAUAAUACAACAUGCAUAUGCUUAGGAUAUUGCUUUGAUGACUUAAGCAUCCAUGCAGAAAAUGCUUUUUUUUUUAAAUUCAACUAUUUUAAACAGCCACCCACAAAUCUCUGAAUUUGAAUAGUUACUCUGUGUUCAUUCUCAGGCCUAUAAUGUACAAAGUCAUUUAUUCAGCAAAAAUCUAUAUACUAUAUCCUGUACUAGGUACUACACAAAGAGCCGGUGGUAAAAUAGAGAGUGAAAUAGAUGAGGUCCCCAUCCUCAGAGAGUUUGCUGUUCAGUGGAGAAAAAAGAUAUAUCGGCAUAUUUACCUAUGCAGUUGUGUGGUUCUACCUGCCUUGAAAGGAAUGUGUAGGGUAUUAUAAGAGCUCAUCAUAGGGAAAUUGAUGUAGUGUGGGAGUAGGAGUGGUCAGAGAACUGUUCUCUGAAGAUGUGAUAAUGAAACAAUAAUACAAAAGGCUGGCGUUCCCAUCGUGGCUCAGCAGAAAUGAAUAUGACUAGUAUCCAUGAGGAUGGGAGUUCGAUUCGUGAGCUCGCUCAGUGGGUUAAAGUCCAGUGAUGCCAUGAGCUGUGGCGUAGAUUGCGGAGGUGGCUUGGAUCUGGCGUUGCUGUGGCUAUGGUGUAGGUCAGCAGCUGUAGCUCUGAUUCAACCCCUAGCCUGGAAAUUUUCAUAUGCCAUAGGUGCGGCCCUAAAUAGCUGUGUGUGUGUAUGUAUAUAUAUAUAUACACAUAUACAUAUCUAUAUCUAUCUAUCUAUCUAUCUAUCUAUCUAUCUAUAUAGCUUAUAUAGAGAGAUAUCAAAAGUGAAUGGAGCUUAAUUAGGAAAAGAAGAAGGUAUUGAAAGGUAUAAUAAAAUCCAAAGGAACUGUAGCACAUGGGCGUCUCCAAGGCAUCGAGGGGAGACUCCUUUUAGAAACCUGAUCAUUAUAGACAGUGUGCAGGGAAAAUGACCAGAUAUGAAGAUGGAGAGACAAUGAAAAGCCAGAUUAGGCAGGAUUGGGGGGGAUAGUGUUCAGGAUUCUGAAUUUUACUCUGAGAAGGAAGAUCCUUGUCAGAGUAGGGAUGGGAGGGUAGGUGAAUGGGAGAUUGAUAAAUUGGAGGUGCCCUAAAGACCUUGAAAAUACAACAUUAAAUGCAUAUACCAUGAGGUGAGUCAUGAUUCCAUUUAAAGCACUUCAGCUUGGGGGUGAUAUAAAGAAAUACUUUUCUGAACAUCAUUCCGAUUUCCGAGCAUCUUUUUACAACAACAGCAAAAAAAAAAAAAAAAAAAAAAAAAAAAAAUCCUAAGAAUAUUAUCAGAUGCUUUUAUCUUUGUGGUACCCAUCUGGAAACAAUGCUCUGGACUACACUGACAGAUGGGUGGGGGGAAAUCUGGUGCGUUUUCUCUCUGGGGACAAUAGAGACUUCUUGGAUGCUACCUACCAGCCCCCUGCUGUUCGUUUCAGAAACUCAGUACUUUAAGAAUGCAGAGUUCCAAACCAGUGGACAGGAAGACAUUUUUUUGUGGGGGGGAGGGGAGGGGAGUGGUUGCCUGUGGACAAAGCAGUGAAUAUGUUCCAAUUUUAGAAUUAAAGGAGAGUUAAGCUAGCUCCUCACUAGAAUUGCCCAAGCCC
rnacentral:lncRNA from 1 species